rnacentral:rRNA from 1 species
GGAUCAGUACGUUGGUCGUGCUUUCGGGUAUGUACUGGUGUUACUGAUUCCUUCCUUCUGACGAACUAUCAUGCCAUUUACUUGGUGUGGUGGGAAAUCAGGACUGUUACUUUGAAAAAAUUAGAGUGUUUAAAGCAGGCUCACGCUUGAAUACAUUAGCAUGGAAUAAUGAAAUAGGACGUUGAUCUUAUUUUGUUGGUUUCUAGGAUUGACGUA